rnacentral:rRNA from 1 species
UACGUAGGAGGCAAGCGUUGUCCGGAAUUACUGGGCGUAAAGCGCGUGUAGGUGGUGGGACAAGUCUGCUGUGAAAGCGCCUGGCUUAACCGGGCGAGGUCGGCGGAAACUGUCCGACUCGAGGACGGUAGAGGGGGGUGGAAUUCCCGGUGUAGUGGUGAAAUGCGUAGAGAUCGGGAGGAACACCUGUGGCGAAGGCGGCGACCUGGUCCGAUACUGACGCUGAGGCGCGAAAGCUAGGGGAGCAAACGGG